GCAGCAGGUCCAGCUUUGGAGCAUGUGGAGCAAGGCUGGAUGUUUCAAUACUCUCUGACUAAAUAAACUCUUCCUGCUUGUAGAAACAAGCAUAUCAGGCUGAAGGCUGGACUGACGUGCUCAUUUUCUAUGCCCAAGGAUGAGGCUUUAUUGUGGACUGGGAAGCAUCCAGGUCAAUCAAUAGCAUUUAUUGUGAGCAGAUUCAUGCCAUUCUUGUUUCUUGGAAAAAAACGAGCUCCCCUUUUGACACUUCCUAAGAUGUUCAGUAUGGGUGUGUGGGUGUUUAAAUCCUUCAUGACUACAGCAGACUACACCAUUAGACAGCCCUCAUAAAUUUGUUCACCUUUAUUGAGAAAGCAUGACUGUCCCACAGAGACCUUUCCAUAUCUGCAUCAGGUUUACAACCACCAUGUAUUAACGGCCAAUUUGUGGCUAAUAGCUCUCAGAUCCCUGAGUCUACCUGAAUGUGAAAGGGCUGUCUUUGGGAAUCUCUAUGGUCUCUGGAAACACAAAGCAAUAUUAUCUAAGCAUGGUGCUUUGCAUAUUUACAAAGGGCUUCCAAAGUUUGUUCCAAAGUAGAUACCAAGACACAACCUCCUAGAAGGGAAGGAGAGAGGGAGGGAGAGAGAAAGAUGAGAGAAGGAGAGAUAGAAAGGAAAAGAUGCCUAUAAUUAUGUUAUUGAAGAACUGUUCUGUUUGGUAUUAUUUAGGGUUAUUUUUAUUAUGAUGUUGAGAUGAGUUUCUUAAAGAGGAAAACUCCCAGGUUUUAUGGCAUCUCUUGCUAGAGAGAAUCCUUGGGUGAUUUGAUAGCCUAUUUGAACAAGAGUGAUGCUUUAUGGGCCCCUAUAAAAACUGAUGACCCCUCUCACAUUUGUAUUUAAUGAAAUCAGGAGGAGCUUUGGUUAUGUUUUCAAUAACCUUCAGUGCUAGCUUCAACCUACCUCUCUCAUGAGCUGAAAUCGGCCCGAAGCCCCCAAGUCUCAGCUGGAGAACACCCCAGACCGUUUGGCUGCUAAGAGCCAUAAUCAGGACUGAAGAUUUUGCUGGUUGGGCUGGAAUUGUGUUCUAAAUUCUCUCCCACUUCUCUUAUUUGGGGAGCAGUGGGGAAAGAGAUGCAGAGACUGCUUGUGUGCUGGAUUUAUUUGCAUAUGUUAACACACUUUGCAUAUAGUUGCACAUCUGCAUUUUUUUCUUUAAUUGAAAGGUAGCUUUUUAUACAUCCUUGCACACCACUUGGUUAGUUACACAAGAAUCUGGCUCAUGUCUGCAUGCACGAUACUUGAUGCCGUGACAACACGUGAAGAGUGCAUGAACUGACUAUGUUCAAAAGUCUUGCUUUUUGAGGCAAUGUGAAGGUAAGGCCUGUAGCUCAGCAGUAGAGCAUCUGCUUUGCAUUGAGAAGGUCCCAGGUUCAACCCCUGACCUCUCUAGGUAGGGCUGGGAGAGAUUUCCUGCCUGAAACCUUGGUGAGUCUCUGCCAGUCAGUGUAGACAAUACUGAGUUAGGUGGACCAAUGGUUGGACUCUGUAUAAGGCAGCUACCUAGGUUCCAAUUAACAAUGAACUCCAUAUUCAGAACCAUGAGGACUGGAAUCUUGAUCUUUAGGGGAAGGAGCACAGCUGAGUGGUAUAGUACAUGUUCCAUCUAGAGAUGGAGGAGAAAUUCAUUCAGUUCCCAUUUUAGUAUGAAUUUCCCAAAUCCUGAAUUAUGCAAUGCACUUGUCCAAAUCAGUAAUGGGUAUAUUGGUGGAAACCUACAGAAAUGAGUUCUGUUGGGUGUGGGGGAGGAAUGGUUCGCAAAACUGUUUAUACUACUCCAAUUUUGCUAGGGAAAAAAAACAUAUAUAAGGAGAAAUAUAUAUGAAAAUGUAUAUUGCAAAUGCGAUUAAAAUAAAUAAAUAGGGCAAAUUGCUUUUAAGAUUGGAGAGUGAGAGUAACUGGAAAUUGCCCAGGUUUCAUCUGUCCCUAAUUCUAUCUGUGUCACGAUGCCUUCGAUGAUGUCACCAGCCUUCAGUCAAACUCAUGCUGGAGGUCCAGUCCAUGCAAAGGCUGCUAAGGGCCUAAGCCUAACUUGCCUCUCUAAGUUCUUUGUGGGGUGUGUGGGAAAGGGAAAGCCAUUUUAAGCAUCACCCCUGAGCCCCCUAGGAGGAAGGGUGAGAUAAAACCAUCCCAAUUAAAAGUAAUAAAAGCAGACAGGUCUCUGCCCUGAAGAGCACACAAUCAAGAAGGCCUGUGUUUGAGGAAAGAUGGACUGGACUCUUGGACAUAAUUGGUGGCCUCCUGCAAAGUGAGGCUUAAUUAAAACUUUUAAGUGACUCCACAAUGUAGAUUUUUUUCUUUCUCAUUUUGAUGGCUCCCUGUAGUCCAUGAGCCUCAAGGUUGGUCUAAGGUGAAAGCGCUGAGGAGAGAAGGAGAUCCAAAUGCUCCACUGUGUGUGAUGUGAAUGAGAAUGAAGAGAAGGGCAUAUCCCCUUCCUAGCUGUUCCACUGGCCAUCCGAUCUAGAGCUCAGAGUUUGCAGUGAAGAGGAAAUCUGGCAGGCUUUAUGAGGACACUUCCAAGCCCGUUGACCGUCAUUUGCAUUCUGGGCCUGCAGUAGACUCUACAGAGGCAGAUGCCUUAUGAAUAAGCCUGAAAGCCAAGCUAUAACAUCCUUGUGGUGAAAUGAUUCAGAGUAAUGUUUCGUCAAGCUGCGCUUUAAUAGGCGAGAGGUCUUAUUUUUAUGAUCAUUGCAAUGUAAAGGGUCACCAUCUUAAUGUUCUAAUACUGUGUUUUAAACAACAUUUACACUUUAACAUAUUGAAAAAUCUCAUCUUUUCCUGCCUGCUGGGAUGACAACACAAUUCAAAUCCAUCAGCAUGGCAGUAUAUUCAGAUGUUUUAAACAUAAAUCAGCCUUGAUGAUCCAUUCCCCCCCCACCUUCUUUAGUCCAUGCAUUCCACUCCCCAGAAAAAAAAGAGGGGGGGAGAGAGGUAGUGGUGCCGGUGCCUGAACUCAUACUGUAGAGUUCUUUAACUUGUUCAUUGCUUUUUCUUUUUCUUUUUUUUAGUUCAGUGGAAUAUCCCACCUGAAUAAUUCAGAGGAGUCAAGGAGAGAGCGGAAAUGGUAAUGGCAGUCCAGCCGUCAACAGAGACACGAUGCUUUAUGACCUCUUUUAGAGUCGAGGGAAACAGAUGCUGGAGUGCAGCAGAAAGUUUGCAAAUUGCUUUUGCGAGUGCAGAGCGAGGGAAACCGUGCAUCAUAUGGGGAAGUGAAGUGACAUGGGGGGUGGGGGACAGGGGAACGGCGGUGGCAGGAGAUGUUUGAAUCCCAGUGAAAUGUUGAGAGUUGGCCAUGAGGAAGAAAACACGCUCAGCAGGGGGCUGUGAUCCACAGCAUAACUGGUGGGAUGGAAGAAAGAAUUCCCAUUGAAAUAAGCAGGAC